rfam:Schistosoma rodhaini strain Burundi genome assembly, scaffold: SROB_scaffold0000699
CUCCAGCUGACGAAUCCUAAAUAGGACGAAAUGAGCGUCCUGAAU